GACGAACGCUGGCGGCGUGCCUAAUACAUGCAAGUCGAACGCAGUGGGGACGGGUGAGUAACACGUGGGUAACCUCCCAUCAGAGGGGAUAACACUUGGAAACAGGUGCUAAACCGAUACUGAUGGAUGGACCCGCGGUGCAUUAGCUAGUUGGGGAGGUAACGGCUCACGAAGGCCACGAUGCAUAGUCAACAUGAGAGGGGUAUCGGCCACACGGGAACGGUGACACGUCCCCGACUCCUACGUGAGGCGGCAGUAGGGAAUCUUCGGCAAUGGACGAAAGUCUGACCGAUCAACGCAGCGUGAGUGAAGAAGGUUUUCGGAUCGUAAAACUCUGUUGUUAGAGAAGCGGUAUCUAACCAGAAAGCCACGGCUAACUACGUGCCAGCAGCCGCGGUAAUUC
rnacentral:rRNA from 1 species